UGGCGGACGGGUGAGUAACGCGUGGGUAACCUGCCUUAUACAGGGGGAUAACAGUUAGAAAUGACUGCUAAUACCGCAUAAGCGCACAGGACUGCAUGAUCCGGUGUGAAAAACUCCGGUGGUAUAAGAUGGACCCGCGUCUGAUUAGCUUGUUGGUGAGGUAACGGCCCACCAAGGCGACGAUCAGUAGCCGACCUGAGAGGGUGACCGGCCACAUUGGGACUGAGACACGGCCCAAACUCCUACGGGAGGCAGCAUG
rnacentral:rRNA from 1 species